GAGUUUGAUCCUGGCUCAGAUUGAACGCUGGCGGCAGGCCUAACACAUGCAAGUCGAACGGUAACAGGAAUCAGCUUGCUGAUUUGCUGACGAGUGGCGGACGGGUGAGUAAUGUCUGGGAAACUGCCUGAUGGAGGGGGAUAACUACUGGAAACGGUAGCUAAUACCGCAUAACGUCGCAAGACCAAAGAGGGGGACCUUCGGGCCUCUUGCCAUCGGAUGUGCCCAGAUGGGAUUAGCUAGUAGGUGGGGUAACGGCUCACCUAGGCGACGAUCCCUAGCUGGUCUGAGAGGAUGACCAGCCACACUGGAACUGAGACACGGUCCAGACUCCUACGGGAGGCAGCAGUGGGAAAUAUUGCACAAUGGGCGCAAGCCUGAUGCAGCCAUGCCGCGUGUAUGAAGAAGGCCUUCGGGUUGUAAAGUACUUUCAGCGGGGAGGAAGGGAGUAAAGUUAAUACCUUUGCUCAUUGACGUUACCCGCAGAAGAAGCACCGGCUAACUCCGUGCCAGCAGCCGCGGUAAUACGGAGGGUGCAAGCGUUAAUCGGAAUUACUGGGCGUAAAGCGCACGCAGGCGGUUUGUUAAGUCAGAUGUGAAAUCCCCGGGCUCAACCUGGGAACUGCAUCUGAUACUGGCAAGCUUGAGUCUCGUAGAGGGGGGUAGAAUUCCAGGUGUAGCGGUGAAAUGCGUAGA
rnacentral:rRNA from 1 species